AUGCACUUGACUCACCUGCUCCGGCGCGGUCGCCUCCGGCCUCUGCUGACAGCUGGGGGCUUUGUUUUCCCCACCCACUCGGCCCGCCGCGCUCCGCCCCCGCCGCCGCCCGUGACGCGCCGCCCGCCCCCGCCGCGCCUCCGGGAGUCCGCUCCAGACCCGGCCAGCGCCGCCCCCUCCCGGGGGUGCUGGUGCGAGAAGACCCCCGCGGGGCAAGCGGGCGGCGAGACGCGCCGGCCCCAGGGAAAGAAGACAAAGGGAAAAAUUUCUACCCAGUGAAUUGAAG
rnacentral:lncRNA from 1 species